ACUCAAAUAGUUUAAAUAAAAAAUAUUAGCUUGUGGCGCUUAAGAUGUAGGCUUUACUUUGAGUA
rnacentral:tRNA from 1 species